rnacentral:rRNA from 1 species
UACAGAGGCCACGAGCGUUAGGCGGAAUCCCUGGGCUUAAAGCGUGUGUAGGUGGAUGACUAAGUACCUUGUGAAAUCCCACGGCUCAACCGUGGAACUGCUUGGUAUACUGGUUGUCUUGAGGCACUCAGGGGCGAGCGGAACAGAUGGUGGAGCGGUGAAAUGCGUAGAUAUCAUCUGGAACGCCAAUGGUGAAAACAACUCGCUGGGGGUGUGCUGACGCUGAGACACGAAAGCCAGGGGAGCGAACGGG